rnacentral:rRNA from 1 species
UCAAGCUACAAAGAGCAUACGGCGGAUGCCUAGGCGCAAUGGGCCGAUGAAGGACGUGGUAAGCUGCGAAAAGUCACGGUGAGCCGCAAGCAGGCAUAGACCCGUGAAUAUCCGAAUGGGGCAACCCGGCGGGGCAAACCCCCGUCACUGUAUGAUGAAUACAUAGUCAUACAGAGGGCACCCGGGGAACUGAAACAUCUUAGUACCCGGAGGAAAAGAAAUCAAACGAGAUUCCCCCAGUAGCGGCGAGCGAACAGGGAAGAGCCUAAACCAUCCGUCUUCGGACGGAUGGGGUUGCGGGACUCUCAUCAUGUACCGAUAUUCUUAGCCGAAGCCGGCUGGAAAGCCGCGUCACAGAAGGUAACAAUCCUGUAGGCGAAAAGAAAAUUGGUGCGGAGAGGAUCCCAAGUACCGCGGGACACGUGGAACCCCGUGGGAAUCAGGGAGGACCACCUUCCAAGGCUAAACACCCGUUGCGACCGAUAGAGAACAAGUACCGUGAGGGAAAGGUGAAAAGCACCCCGGGAGGGGAGUGAAAAAGCACCUGAAACCGUAUGCUUACAAACAGUCAAAGCUCGUUAAAAGAGUAAUGGCGUACUUUUUGUAGAACGGACCGGCGAGUUACAUCCGGCGGGCAAGGUUAAGGGAAAAAACCCGGAGCCGCAGCGAAAGCGAGUCUAAACAGGGCGAAAGUCCGUCGGAGUAGACCCGAAACCGGGUGAUCUACCCAUGUCCAGAGUGAAGCUUUAGUAAAAUAAAGUGAAGGCUCGAACCAACCGUCGUUGAAAAGGCGGUGGAUGAGGUGUGGGUAGGGGUGAAAUGCCAAUCGAACCCGGAAAUAGCUGGUUCUCCCCGAAAUAGCUUUAGGGCUAGCCUCGGGAAUCAAUAGCGGAGGUAGAGCACUGACUGGGCUAGGGGUCUUCACCGAUUACCGAACCCAAUCAAACUCCGAAUGCCGCAUAUUGGAAUUCCGGGAGUCAGACUGCGGGUGCUAAGAUUCGUAGUCAAGAGGGAAACAGCCCAGACCAUCGGCUAAGGUCCCAAAGGGAUGCUAAGUGGAAAAGGAUGUGAGGCUGCACGGACAGCCAGGAUGUUGGCUUAGAAGCAGCCACCAUUUAAAGAGUGCGUAAUAGCACACUGGUCAAGUGGCCUUGCGCCAAAAAUGAAACGGGGCUAAAGCAUCGCACCGAAGCCAUGGACUUAUAGAAAUAUGAGUGGUAGGGGAGCGUUCCCAUAGGGACGAAGCAGUACCGGCAAGGAGCUGUGGACUUAUGGGAAGUGAUAAUGCCGGUAUAAGUAAGCGAAAAGGCAGGUGAGAAUCCUGCCCGCCGAAAGCCUAAGGAUUCCUGGGGAAGGCUCGUCCGCCCAGGGUAAGCCGGGACCUAAGCCGAGGCCGAAUGGCGUAGGCGAUGGACAAUCGGUUGAGAAUCCGAUGCCACCGAACUUUCGUUUGAAGGAUGGGGUGACACAGGAAGGAAGGCCAAGCGCGCGGAUGGAAAAGCGCGUCCAAGCCCGUAGGGCGUGGUGCAGGAAAAACCGCACCACAGAUAAGCCUGAGAGGUGACGGGGAGGGAACCAAGUACCGAAGUGGCCGUACCCUAAACUGUCAAGAAAAACCCCUAACGAGAAAGUGGGUGCCCGUACCGCAAACCGACACAGGUAGGCGGGGUGAGAAUCCUAAGGCGCGCGAGAGAACCCUCGUUAAGGAACUCGGCAAAAUAACCCCGUAACUUCGGGAGAAGGGGUACUCCGUUAUCGUGAAAGUUAAACAACUGGAGCGAGAAGGAGUCGCAGAGAAAAGGCCCAAGCGACUGUUUACCAAAAACACAGGUCCCUGCUAAAUCGGAAGAUGACGUAUAGGGGCUGACGCCUGCCCGGUGCCGGAAGGUUAAGGGGAGAGCUCAGGGAGCAAUUCUGAAGGUUUGAACCGAAGCCCCGGUAAACGGCGGCCGUAACUAUAACGGUCCUAAGGUAGCGAAAUUCCUUGUCGGGUAAGUUCCGACCCGCACGAAAGGCGUAACGAUUUGGGCACUGUCUCAACGAGGGGCUCGGCGAACUUGUAAUACCCGUGAAGAUGCGGGUUACCUGCGACAGGACAGAAAGACCCCGUGGAGCUUUACUGCAACCUGACAUUGGAUUUCGGUAUAGCAUGUACAGGAUAGGUGGGAGGCAUGGAAUCCGGGACGCCAGUCUCGGAGGAGCCAACGUUGGGAUACCACCCUUGGGAUAUUGGAAUUCUAACAAAGCGCCAUGAAACUGGCGCGUGGACAGUGUCAGGCGGGCAGUUUGACUGGGGCGGUCGCCUCCCAAAGAGUAACGGAGGCGCCCAAAGGUUCCCUCAGCGCGGUUGGAAAUCGCGCGAUAGAGUGUAAAGGCAGAAGGGAGCUUGACAGCGAGACACACAGGUCGAGCUGGUACGAAAGUAGGGCUUAGUGAUCCGGCGGUAUCGAGUGGAAGAGCCGUCGCUCAACGGAUAAAAGCUACCCCGGGGAUAACAGGCUUAUCUCCUCCAAGAGUUCACAUCGACGAGGAGGUUUGGCACCUCGAUGUCGGCUCAUCGCAUCCUGGGGCUGGAGUAGGUCCCAAGGGUUGGGCUGUUCGCCCAUUAAAGCGGUACGUGAGCUGGGUUCAGAACGUCGUGAGACAGUUCGGUCCCUAUCCGUCGCAGGCGCAGGAAACUUGAGAGGAUCUGUCCCUAGUACGAGAGGACCGGGAUGGACGGAUCACUGGCGUACCGGUUAUUCCGCCAGGAGUAGCGCCGGGUACCCAUAUCCGGGAAGGAUAAGCGCUGAAAGCAUCUAAGCGCGAAACCUGCCUUAAGAUGAGGUUUCCCACUGGAAAACCAGGUAAGACCCCAUGAAGACUACGUGGUAGAUAGGCCGGGAGUGUAAGUCCCGCGAGGGAUUCAGCUGACCGGUACUAAUAGGUCGAGGGCUUGACCUG